UACAGAGGUCCCAAGCGUUGUUCGGAUUCACUGGGCGUAAAGGGUGCGUAGGCGGUCGAGUAAGUCUGAUGUGAAAUCUCCAAGCCUAACUUGGAAACUGCAUUGGAUACUAUCCGGCUAGAGGAAUGGAGGGGAGACUGGAAUACUUGGUGUAGCAGUGAAAUGCGUAGAUAUCAAGUGGAACACCAGUGGCGAAGGCGAGUCUCUGGACAUUUCCUGACGCUGAGGCACGAAAGCCAGGGGAGCAAACGGG
rnacentral:rRNA from 1 species